GUGGAAUUAGCUCAAAUGGUAGGGUGCUCACUUAGCAUGUGAGAGGCUGUGGGAUCGACGCCCGCAUUCUCCA